rnacentral:rRNA from 1 species
AAAGGUAGCAUAAUUAAUUGCCUUUUAAUUGGGGGCUUGUUUGAAUGGUUUGACGAGAUAAGUUUUAAUAUUUAAUAUUUGUGUGAAAUUAAUGUUAAGGGUUCAGAAUCCUUAUAUAUUAAUAAGACGGAAAGACCCUAGGAUCUUUUGUUUUUUGUUUGGGGCAAAUUUGUAUAGUUUAUAGAAAUUGUGACCCUAAUGGGUUAUUGGGUUAAGUUACCCUAGGGAUAACAGAGUAAUAAUUAAUGAGAGAUCAUAUCGAAUUAAUUGUUUGCUACCUCGAUGUUGACUUAGGUUUAAGACUUAGGUGUAGUAGUUUAAGUUGUUGGUCUGUUCGACCUUAAAAACCUCCAUGAGUUGAGUUAAGACCGGCGUGAGC